rnacentral:piRNA from 1 species
UUCUUGUAUGGAAAAUCGAAGUAGCCGGGU